UAAUUUCAAAUGGUCACUAAAUGAACUGUUGCAAGUCAAGGACUACCUGUAUUUCUGUAUGGAUAUUUAUUGUCUUUGAUCUGCCAACCACAAGUUGCUGAGAUAGGUGAGAGAUGAAAACUUGCCCCCUCUUCAGUCAUUGGCAUUUUGGGAUGCUGAUAAUAGUAAAGGUUUUUACAAUUACAUACUGCCUAGCAAAGAAAAUCAACUUUUUAUUAUUAAGUUGAUUCUCAUUGCUAGGCAGUAUCUAAUUGUAAAAACUUUUUAAAAAUAUUGUUUGGCAGCUUCUGAUAAUGAAUAUUUCUUUAAAUAAAAGAGUAAACUUACACAUUUACAAAAUAAAAUUUCAGAAAAAAAAAAAUUUAAAUAUGUGAAGGAACUUUCACUAUUUCAAAAUUAAUAAAUUUGUAAUUAAUGAUUAAAAAGUUCACUGAGUUUGGGCAUCUUUGAGUGGAUAAAAGUGCUGCUCUAGACCUAUGUGAGUCAAUUUCAUGACUUACACUUAUUUUAACACAUGAAAUUAUUGAAAAUAAUUUAUAUGACUAAUUCAUAAUGUGACUUAUUUUUUACUUAGUAGGCUGUACAUACCCAAUCAUUGGGUAGUUCACAAGAGAGAUCGAAAAUAUAACCGUAUUAAUGCUUUGGAAAAAUUCAAAAUAUGUGUUUUUCCUAUUGUGUUUGUGACAUAUUAAGCAAAAAACCAAGUUAAUAAUUAUGCACUAUCAUUUUAUAUUCUGUCAUAUCCACAACACCAUCUUAAGUUUACUUUAAUGAGAAACUGAAAACAAGAUUAUUAAUGGUAAUUAGUUUUGUUGUUUUUGAUAACUAUUCAUAGCAGGAUAAAAGCUGGAGUUUUUGACUUUGCAUUUCUCAGAGGCAGGUUACUCCUUGCCCUGUAUUUCCAGUCUGGUGUGGAAGUUAGAAGCUGGUCACAUGUUAUCCACAUUAAACU